GAGAGUAAGACAGUAGGAGAGUAAGACAGUAGGACAGUAGGACAGUAAGACAGUAGGAGAGUAAGACAGUAAGACAGGUAAGACAGUAGGAGAGUAAGACAGUAGGACAGUAAGACAGUAGGAGGAGUAAGACAGAAGGAGAGUAAGACAGUAGGAGAGUAAGACAGUAGGACAGUAAGACAGUAGGACAGUAAGACAGUAGGACAGUAGGACAGUAAGACAGUAGGAGAGUAAGACAGUAGGACAGUAAGACAGUACGAGAGUAAGACAGUAGGAGAGUAAGACAGUAGGACGGUAAGACAGUAGGUAGGUAAGACAGUAAGACAGUAGGACAGUAAGACAGUAAGACAGUAGGACAGUAAGACAGUAGGAGAGUAGACAGUAGGACAGUAAGACAGUAGGAGAGUAAGACAGUAGGAGAGUAAGACAGUAAGACAGUAGGACAGUAAGACAGUAAGACAGUAGGAGAGUAAGACAGUAAAGACAGUAGGACAGUAAGACAGUAGGACAGUAAGCCAGUAAGACAGUAAGAGAGUAAGACAGUAGGACAGUAAGACAGUAGGAGAGUAAGACAGUAAGACAGUAGGACAGUAAGACAGUAAGACAGUAGGAGAGUAAGACAGUAAGACAGUAGGACAGUAAGACAGUAGGACAGUAAGACAGUAGGAGAGUAAGACAGUAAGACAGUAGGACAGUAAGACAGUAGGACAGUAAGACAGUAGGACAGUAAGACAGUAGGAGAGUAUGACAGUAGGACAGUAAGACAG
ensembl:lncRNA